GACGAACGCUGGCGGCGUGCUUAACACAUGCAAGUCGAACGGAAAGGCCCUGCUUUUGUGGGGUGCUCGAGUGGCGAACGGGUGAGUAACACGUGAGUAACCUGCUCUUGACUUUGGGAUAACUUCAGGAAACUGGGGCUAAUACCGGAUAGGAGCUCCUGCUGCAUGGUGGGGGUUGGAAAGUUUCGGCGGUUGGGGAUGGACUCGCGGCUUAUCAGCUUGUUGGUGGGGUAGUGGCUUACCAAGGCUUUGACGGGUAGCCGGCCUGAGAGGGUGACCGGCCACAUUGGGACUGAGAUACGGCCCAGACUCCUACGGGAGGCAGCAGUGGGGAAUAUUGCACAAUGGGCGGAAGCCUGAUGCAGCAACGCCGCGUGCAGGAUGACGGCCUUCGGGUUGUAAACCGCUUUCGCCUGUGACGAAGCGUGAGUGACGGUAAUGGGUAAAGAAGCACCGGCUAACUACGUG
rnacentral:rRNA from 1 species